GUGGAUGUAGCUCAGGGGUAGAGCGCCUGACUGUGGAUCAGGAGGACGUGGGUUCAAUCCCCAUCAUCCACC
rnacentral:tRNA from 1 species